CCGAGUUUACAACUCAUCAACCCUGUGAACAUACCUAACUGUUGCCUUCGGCGGAUCAGACGCUCCCGGUAACAACGGGCCGGCCCCGCCAGAGGACCCCUAAACUCUGUUUUAUAUGAAUUUUCUGAGUAAACCAUCAAAUAAAUCA
rnacentral:misc_RNA from 1 species